GACAGAGGGUGCAAACGUUGCUCGGAAUCACUGGGCGUAAAGGGCGUGUAGGCGGGAAGGAAAGUCAGAUGUGAAAUCCCUGGGCUCAACCCAGGAACUGCAUUUGAAACUCCCUUUCUUGAGUGUCGGAGAGGAAAGCGGAAUUCCUGGUGUAGAGGUGAAAUUCGUAGAUAUCAGGAGGAACACCGGUGGCGAAGGCGGCUUUCUGGACGACAACUGACGCUGGAGGAGCGAAAGCGUGGGGAGCGAACAGG
rnacentral:rRNA from 1 species